rnacentral:rRNA from 1 species
GGCAUAAUGAUUCCGCAUGGUUUCAUUAUUAAAGGAUUCCGGUAAAGGAUGGGGAUGCGUUCCAUUAGGUUGUUGGUGAGGUAACGGCCCACCAAGCCUUCGAUGGAUAGGGGUUCUGAGAGGAAGGUCCCCCACAUUGGAACUGAGACACGGUCCAAACUCCUACGGGAGGCAGCAGUGAGGAAUAUUGGUCAAUGGGCGCUAGCCUGAACCAGCCAAGUAGCGUGAAGGAUGAAGGCUCUAUGGGUCGUAAACUUCUUUUAUAUAAGAAUAAAGUGCAGUAUGUAUACUGUUUUGUAUGUAUUAUAUGAAUAAGGAUCGGCUAACUCCGUGCCAGCAGCCGCGGUAAUACGGAGGAUCCGAGCGUUAUCCGGAUUUAUUGGGUUUAAAGGGAGCGUAGGUGGACUGGUAAGUCAGUUGUGAAAGUUUGCGGCUCAACCGUAAAAUUGCAGUUGAUACUGUCAGUCUUGAGUACAGUAGAGGUGGGCGGAAUUCGUGGUGUAGCGGUGAAAUGCUUAGAUAUCACGAAGAACUCCGAUUGCGAAGGCAGCUCACUGGACUGCAACUGACACUGAUGCUCGAAAGUGUGGGUAUCAAACAGGAUUAGAUACCCUGGUAGUCCACACAGUAAACGAUGAAUACUCGCUGUUUGCGAUAUACAGUAAGCGGCCAAGCGAAAGCAUUAAGUAUUCCACCUGGGGAGUAC